UAAAAUUUGGUUUUAGUUUGGUUGUGGCAGCAUCAGCCGGGCCGGAUUUGGCCCGCGGGCCGUAAUUUGCCCUUGUCAGAUCUAGAUUCUAGACUCCAAAUUUUACAUCUGAACUGUGAACAAAAUAUCUAGAUCUAGCUAUGAUACACCAACAUUGGCAGCCCCGAUGUGGUGGAGUGAGCUGUGGAAAUUUGUCUUCGUAAAAAUGUAUUUGAAUGUUUUGCAAAAUCGACUAAACUUCCCUUUCAUUUAUUAUCGUAUUCAAUCAUCUGAAAUUGCUACAACAUUGGUUCUUUAUGACGACAUAAUGAAUAAGACAGAACGAAUAAAUUUUGUUAUUUUCCAUCUAGAUAACAAGCAAUAUCCAAACUAGCGACCGCUAGUCUAUCGCAUUACCUCACAAGUGUGGAGUCUACAAACCUAAACUACUACAAAGAGGAGAGGAGAACCAAUAAGAUAUACAGAGAACAAACUUAUAAUAAAAGAUAAUCUAGAUAACAAGCGAUGCACUGAAUAGACAGCUCAUCUUCCCGCAUUUCCGACAAAUGCGGAUUUUGAAAAAGUUACCCAAAUCCCUUAUGACGGAGAAAGAGAAGAUCAACAAGAUAUACAGAGAAGUAAAGAAUGAUAAAAAAUAAUUAUCGUGCAUCUGCUUUUACGUGUACAGCGUCUUAGAAUUUAAGUCUCUGAGAAGAGGACUGAGCUCGGUGUUUGGUCGAAGACUGAUGGAUCUGUGUUUAUUUCUGUGGUUUUGUAUAGACUCGUCUUAUCCGGUAGAACCUCAGCUUAGAACCAUCACGAUAUUUUGAUCUGGUCGAAGGGCCCGAUCUUUGGUAAAAAACUGUGCUCUGAUCAGUGUGCUUUCUCAUUCAUCUGGCAACUUCACGUGUAAAAAGUAAUAUCCAAGUAUCUGGGAGUUUGACUUGUUCGCACAAAUAUGCAGCAAAUUGUCUACUCGAGUCUUUUUUUCUGAUAUCGACUUGGGGUGUGCAAAAUAAAAUAAAAAGCAUAGGUCGUAAACCAGGCCUGCCCGACCUUUUUCGUCUCGCGAGCCAGUUCACAUGACCAAAUUCGUUGCGGGCCGCAAACGUUUCAACUUUAAGACCAGCUAAGUCCUGAUUUCGACAUAAUGUAGGCUACAUAAAAUCAAUGAAUGUAAUAAUAAUUUACUGGUUACUGAGUAUGGCUGGCAAAAUAUUAGAAUAGCAGUUUACUCUUCGAAUAUAUGGUAACACGGGGCUUGGGCAUGACACUCGCUGGCCGCCGAAUCAAAAAACCAAUCAUUACACAACACACUUGCGGCUUUCUGGCGACCACGCGAGAAUCUACACACAGUUUUUACUCACAAACAAAGACUUCAAAAUUGUGCGUUACAUUUGCGUUAUAGUGUUUUUAUUCAUUCAUUUUCAGGGACUAUGAUACUGUCUCAAUGUUUAAACGAUCCUAUUGAGCGCCGAUGUCGCGAGAAUAUUAAGUUUUAGUGGGUCGUUUCAUAAAUUUGAAACAUCAACACAACUUACCUAUUUAAUGAAGUAACAUUGCAAAAAUUUUUGGAUGAAUAAAUAUACUAAUUUUAAUAUGUAGCAAUGCCAUUGAGCCAAUUUUAUCAUGGACGGAUGCACAGUGACGACAUUUCCGAAAUCGUAUUUAACGCAAAAAUAACAAAAAUACAAACACAAAAGAACAACGAGUCCCGGAGCCAUUACCAAAGAUAUUGUUGACUUUUUAUUUUGAGUUAGCAAUAAUACCGAUCAAAGCUGACGAAAGAAAGCGAUCAGAAUGAAAUUAAUUUGCAAAUGUAGGCGUCAAAUUCAUUCCUAUAUUUGCGCUCGGCGUUCGUCCCCAAUGAUCGCACAAUAUCCUAUCUUUCGAGUUCGUCGAACAGAACGCACAGUUCUGCUAAAAUAAAAUAAAAACUAGCGUCGAUGUCCACCAAUGCGCAAGACUUGACACAUAGGCGACGUUAUAAUAAAAACCGGCAUUUGGAUGUAGACAGAUGGCAGCAAUAAUCACACCAAAAACACGAAGCAUACUUAAGCCUAUAUAUAUAACAUAGUAAACAUUUUAAAAGUCUGCUUACAAACUUUAUGAGACGGGCCGCAAAAAUAUCGAGUAUGGGAUUAGUUAGCCAGUUAUUUGUUUUCAGAUACAUGGACUUGAUGGUGGAAGAAGCCGCAACCAACCAGCGGUUAUGUGAACCACCUUAUGGCAGCAAGGAAUCCAGCUAUCCUUCCGCAUAUAAUUAACCCCGCAUGUCAGAAAUUUAUGAUAUCUUUUGGCAAGGAAUCCAAUGCAACUACUGAAGUUAGUUUUGUUGUAUCAUGGAAUACUGCCCGUGAUAAACACCCAUAUUCUGACUGUGAUUUAAAAAAAAAAUAUUGCUGAUGCUGUCGCAGUCUUGGAUCCCAGCAACACGAAGCGAGUAAUAGCCCAGUCGCCAGUUUCGUGUCGCACUACACCGAGGCACAUCUCCCAAAUUAGUACCAACGUAACAUUUACCAUGCCAAAUAUUUUUCAAUGAACUCUGAUAAUAAUAAUUUUAAAAUUUAUGAGGCUCCCACAUAUUAUCUGACUUGCUGCAUGCCGCUCUUAUGGUAAAAAACCUCGCCCACCCCUGUCGUAGGCCGAAAUUAUUCUCCGUUUAAGUUUGCAGAUGAUAGUUUAAUCUUUGGUUAACUUAAGUACUAAAGCCUGCUACCUUCGAUUAUAUCAACAAACGGAAUAUACCUUUCUAAUCAUAAUACUACAUUGGAUUCUGCUGAAAUAAUUACCUGUUCAACUCGAAACUCCACGGAAAAUCAAUAUGAAUACCGAAGUUCAUAACCAGAUUCUGGCUGCUGUUACAUACCUCCAGGCCAACCACAAAGCGCUCAUGCAACGCUCAGAUGAACUGUCUGCCACUGAAGACCAUGGCAGCAAGUCUGAAGCUGUUAAGAAGUUCCAGCAUGAUGUGGCUCAAAUCUCUCUUAAGAUCGAGGAGAUUAUAAAAAGACUGGAGUUAUGUGAAAAACAGCAAGAUGAUCAGGAACAGUACAGCCGGAGGAACUGUGUUGUUCUUCAUGGCUGCAAAUCUGUUCCAGAAUCUGAGUACUACAAGUUUGAAGACUUUGUUGUUAACACCCUGAACAAUAACUUCAAUCUUGACCAGCCUAUUGUUAACACGGAUAUUGAUAUAACCCAUAAAUUGCGAUCCAAGUCCCCGAAGAACCCCAUCAUUAUUAAAUUUGUCCGAAGAUCGACAAAAAAUUUAAUAUAUGGUAGGAAGAAAGAUCUAAAAGGCAGCGGUUUGUCCAUCACGGAGUCCUUGACCCGGAAUAGGCUCAAGCUCCUCGCCGCUGCCAAGGAAGCAUUCGGGAAGCAUAAGGUGUCGACAAUGAAUGGGACUAUAUACGCUUACUUGGACAGAAGGCGAGUUAUAUCUUGUUUAAAUGAUAUCACUAAUCUCUCUCGUCCCCUGUACUCCAGGGCUGCUGCUCGCCCAAUGGGACCUAGCAAAUAGGCACACUGUUUGCAACUUGGUCUCAUUGGUAUAGUGGUGGCCUUUAGCACAGGGUUGAUAAUAUAAUUUAAUUUAACUCAAUUUAUUUUCACCCCUAUUUUCCUUAUGCUAAUUAGGCUAGUACUUAUUUAACCAUAAGUUCUGCACCUGGAAACUUUGUAUUCAAGCUUUGUAUUUUAGAUUUUGUCUUACUUCACUAUACUUUUUUUAUUUUUUAUUUCAUUACUUUGCCACCACCAUGAAACAUAAUUUAAAAUAUCCCUGUAGAAAUUGCCACAAAUCAGUCCGAACUAAUCAGAAAGCUAUUUUUUGCAACAUUUGCUCACAUUGGAUACAUUUAAAAUGCACCAAUAUCUCUAACCAGCAGUAUGAAAACCUGCAAUCUGAAGCUGAUGAUAUGCCUUGGUGCUGUUUCUUUUGUGAAAAAGAUUGCAUACCAUUCUCUUCUCUCUCUGAUUCUGAAUUAUUAGAAUCAUGUACUUCCCUUCAUUCAGAAAAAGCUGAAGCCCAAGCACUUACUAAAAUUCUUGAUCCUGAAUACCUAAACCAAAUGUUUCUUGAGUCAGCCAAUACUGACAAUGAUGAAUUCAACAACAUAAACAGUGUUUUCAUGUACAACAGCUCAAAUCAGUAUAUUUGCUCUAGUGAUGUCAAUGACCUCAAAUUCAAUGAUAGUUUUAAACUAAGUGGUUUCAUGACUCUUUCCCUUAAUAUCAGAUCUUUAGCCUCUUUCAAAAACUACACAAAAUUUGAAGCACUAGUGAAUUCACUGAAUUGUAAGCCUCAUGUAAUUGCUGUAAAUGAAACAUGGAUUGUAUCUGGUACAAAUGGCCAUUUCAAUACAUUGGAUGGCUAUGUUUUUAUCACUAACAGUAGAUCUCAUCACCGAGGUGGUGGUGUUGGUCUCUACAUU